GAUGAACGCUGGCGGCGUGCCUAAUACAUGCAAGUCGAGCGAACAGACGAGGAUCUUGCUCCUCUUACGUUAGCGGCGGACGGGUGAGUAACACGUGGAUAACCUACCUAUAAGACUGGGAUAACUUCGGGAAACCGGAGCUAAUACCGGAUAAUAUAUUGAACCGCAUGGUUCAAUAGUGAAAGACGGUUUUGCUGUCCCUUAUAGAUGGAUCCGCGCCGCAUUAGCUAGUUGGUAAGGUAACGGCUUACCAAGGCAACGAUGCGUAGCCGACCUGAGAGGGUGAUCGGCCACACUGGAACUGAGACACGGUCCAGACUCCUACGGGAGGCAGCAGUAGGGAAUCUUCCGCAAUGGGCGAAAGCCUGACGGAGCAACGCCGCGUGAGUGAUGAAGGUCUUCGGAUCGUAAAACUCUGUUAUUAGGGAAGAACAAAUGUGUAAGUAACUAUGCACGUCUUGACGGUACCUAAUCAGAAAGCCACGGCUAACUACGUG
rnacentral:rRNA from 1 species